rnacentral:tRNA from 1 species
GGGGGUGUAGCUCAGUGGUAGAGCGCUCGCUUCGCAUGCGAGAAGUCCCGGGUUCAAACCCCGACACCUCUC